CUACUAGACAUGCGCGGAACCGAUCGUGUUGCUGUUGAUUCAUUUACUCAAACUGUUUAGAACGAAUCAGUCCGAUUUGGUGAACCGGUUCAUCCAGUUCACUAAAAAGAACCGGUUCAAAAGAACGAUUCGUUCACUAGUUGCUGCUGUUUCACUUGCGCUGGCAACUCACAUGGAUAAUGACGGAGAAAUACAAGCAAAGCUACGAUGGAGAAUGAAGGACAAAACAGUCAUACAGGUCGAUAAGCAAGUUACCUUUUCUUUUCAACAAGAAUCAGUACAGAACUGUGCUUUAAAGAAACUGUUGUUCAAGAAUCUGACAUGACAUGGCAUCAGAGGUGAAGGAUAUUCUGGCACUACAAGACCCAAACCUGGUGAUCAGCAAAGCCUUCAAACUGUGUAUUACACAGGGUGACUUGGCCACACCGAAGGAGGGUUGCUGGCUUAAUGACAAGGUUAUCGACUUCUAUUUGCCUUUGCUAAUGAAGUGAUCAUCUGGGAGCCUUAGUCUUCUCUUACAGCACUUUUUUCUACCCAAAGCUCCAGAGUGGUGAAGGUAAUGCAGCAGUGACGAACUGGACAAAAACUCAGGACCUCUUCGUCUUGGAUCUUGUUUUUGUUCCUUUGCACCUAGGCAUGCACUGAGCUUUGGCUAAAGUACCUCACAAAGGAGCAAAGGGUCAAGAAAGGAUGCAUCUUGGAGGCUUGCAGAUGGACCAUCGGCCGAAUGAGAACUUCUGUAUGACACCAUAUGAUGAAUUUUAUGGGUCUUCUCUGAAUUACGUGUCAUUUUAAGACUAAAUGUUCUGCUAUUGUGUCUAGGCAAUUCCUAAACAGUUGAAUGGCAAUGACUGUGGUGUUUUUGUCUGUAAAUAUGCAGACUUCCUUUCUCAAGGAAAGCCAUUCACAUUCUGAUAGGUACAAUGGUGCUCCUGUUCACACAUUUAAUCCUCAAACAUUUCAUUAUGCUCCUGAUUCAUCUGUCUCUUUCUCUGUGGUGUGACGUCCCACUCUUCAGAAAAGUGAUGGUUUGGGAGAUAGUACAUCAGAAGAUCCUGUAAGCCCUGAAGCAACCAGUCCUUCAAAGAUAAUGAAACAUCUUAUGUUCUUUUUGCGUAAAUUAAAUUUUGUAUGAAACUAUGAAUAAUUGCA